UGUGAUGUGAGAGAACUACAGAAACCUGGUUUUCUUGGGUGAAGUAUUGCUGUCUCUAAGCCAGACCUGAUUACCUGUCUGGAGCAAGGAAAAGAGCCCUGGAAUAUGAAGAGACAUGAGAUGGUAGCUAAACAUUUAUUAUGUUUUAUUAUUUUGCCCAACACCUUUGGCCAGAGCAGAACAUAAGAGAUUCUUUCCAGAAAGUGACCCUAAGAAGAUAUAGAAAAUGUGGAUAUGAGAAUUUACAGUUAAGAAAAGGCUGUAAAAGUGUGGUUGAGUGUAAACAGCACAAAGGAGAUUAUAGUGGACUUAACCAAUGUUUGAAAACUACCUUGAGCAAAAUAUUUCAAUGUAAUAAAUAUGUAGAAGUUUUCCAUAAAAUUUCAAAUUCAAAUAGACACAAGAUGAGACAUACUGAAAAUAAACAUUUUAAAUGUAAAGAAUGUCGCAAAACAUUUUGCAUGCUUUCACACCUAACUCAACAUAAAAGAAUCCA
rnacentral:lncRNA from 1 species